UACAUAAGAGAAGACCUCACACCUACCCCUGCCCUGGGGAAGAACAGUAUGACAUCAAAGGGAAUUUUCUUUGUCGUAAAGGUGAAGGUAAACGUGAAGUUUUCCAGCUUCCCAGAAUAUCCCAGUUUUAGUCUUCAGGCCAGGACGCAAUCUGGAUGAUUUGGAUGGUGUAGGCAGAAUUGGUUGGUGAGCAAGAUUUGUCAGGCAUUCAAGAAACAUCUCUGAGUUCUUCUUCCCCUUUUAUGAAUCCAAGAACUGUAAAACUAGUUAAAUGUUAAACCAUACCUCUCAUCUUUCGUACACGCUCCUCUCUGGGAAUGCUUCAGAGCCCACAUUCCUCCAGAACAUAACCCAAGGUCCUUAAGGUGAUCCUCAGCUACCUACGCGUCCUGCGCACUGAGGAGUCAAAGCGGUUGAGGAGAGCUCCCCUGCCCCUGCCGGGUCUCACUGCUCUUAAACUAACUAGGAUGUGCCCCAGUCGCGCAUUUCCUGGCGGCUGGUCGCUUUGGAACUUGAAUGCGUUUCUCCCCCAAGCAGCGGUAAGGUGGAGAGGGGGUGGUUCAAUGCACCAGCAGCCCAGCCCCCACCUCGUGCCCCGCAGGCGCUCUGCUGGGUGGGCUGCAGGGAGGCGCUGGCACCUGGGCAGUUCCCAUGACAGCAUCUGAGAAGGCGCUGGCAGCAGGGAGUAGGGGCGGAGUUCAGGGGCCUAAAGAACGGCGCUUUGUGAGUGGCUGGUUCCCAUGGCAACCGCUGGGUGCCUCCUAGGCAGCCAGAACCCAGUAGCUCUGCCUAUAGCGACAACUAGGAGCAAAACACCUUUGGAGAACCGGCGUUUCCACCACCAGCAUUCCUAAAUAGCUCUGCUUCGAUUUCCUGGAACAAACGCUUUUUCAGCAUCUACAUGCCAAAUAUUGUGGUGGAUACUGGGCUUUAGGAAAAAGACACGGCCACUGGCCCUCUCCUGGCAGGGCUCCAAGCUGAGAGGGAGUGCAUAGCCUGGUCUUCCUUGCAGCUAGGAGUAGCCUGUGGAUAUCCAAUAGAUAUUAAGAGGAAGUCACACCGGCCCCUUCCAAGCCUGGGCCCAUCCUCUCUGGCUGGCUGGGAUAGUCUCUGAGCAAUCUUGGAAGUGACUUGGUGAGAUCAAAAAGGCUGUGCAUGACCAUCCUGGAGAGGAUUGCUCCACCUACCUCUUGCCCAGCCCAGAAUUAUGACCUGAAUAGGAAAUAAACUUCUAAUGUGAUUAUG